AACGAACGCUGGCGGCAGGCUUAACACAUGCAAGUCGAGCGCCCCGCAAGGGGCGCGGCAGACGGGUGAGUAACGCGUGGGAAUCUACCCAUCUCUACGGAAUAACGCAUGGAAACGUGUGCUAAUACCGUAUACGUCCUGCGGGAGAAAGAUUUAUCGGAGAUGGAUGGGCCCGCGUUGGAUUAGCUAGUUGGUGGGCUAAAGGCCUACCAAGGCGACGAUCCAUAGCUGGUCUGAGAGGAUGAUCAGCCACACUGGGACUGAGACACGGCCCAGACUCCUACGGGAGGCAGCAGUGGGGAAUAUUGGACAAUGGGCGCAAGCCUGAUCCAGCCAUGCCGCGUGAGUGAUGAAGGCCCUAGGGUUGUAAAGCUCUUUCACCGGUGAAGAUAAUGACGGUAACCGGAGAAGAAGCCCCGGCUAACUUCGUGCCAGCAGCCGCAGUAACAC
rnacentral:rRNA from 1 species